GGCAACAACUUGGUGGGGUCAACUCGAAUGCUUUUGUCGGCUGUUCUUGAAGAUUUCUGAGUCUCUGCCACAUUCUUUGGCUGUUGCUGGUGUUUAAGCACUCCAAAACUGCAUAGCAGUAUGUUUGGAGGUGGCCUGUCAAAUAUGAGAAGCUGACAGUGUGACUGAGCUAGUCACGGGGGUCUUCACAGAAAAGGCAGUCUGGGUCCUGGUCCACUGGAGAUUCCAACUGAAUGAAUUCCUGGCCAGAACUACAGCCACAGAACUACAGCUGGUGUGAGAAAAAGACGAUGAAAAGAUAAAAAUACACCUUGGUAGCUGCUGGAUUGAGGCAAAUGAGAGACACAUGGAGCUCAUCUAGAUCCAACUCUACAGCUUGAAGCUAAGCCUACCUUAGCCAAGUCUACACCAGUUUGACUUCGGUCGAUUCAUAGAUGUUUGAGCCAGAGGUAAGGUGCUUGUUGCUGGAAGCCAGUUAAACUUUGAAGUCUUUUUGAAAAAUAUGUUGUCAUUGCAGACAUAGCUGCACAUAAUCUUCCACACUGUGGGAAGUCAAAUUAAGCAUGCUUAGACUUUAGAGCAGAAUCCCAUUAUUAGUGUAGUGGCAAAAAUGUUACAAGUGGCAUAGCCCCCCAGUUUCCUUCUCCUAGCCCUCUGCCUAAGAACUAGAGUACUUAGUUUUGAAGUGGAGCCCUAAUGGGAGUGUCCAUCUCUCACCAGGGUUAAGCCUCUUGGCCCUUACUGAGCACUCAGAGUUGUUAGUUCCCUGGAAGAUAUGAAAGAGCUUCACUGGCUCUGGAGUUCUCAGUCAAUAACCAACUGUAACAGACCUACCCUUCCAACAAAAUCUUGAUUCAGGAAAUUGAGUGUCUGCUUAUAGUUAAUGCUCUAUUUUUUUAUAUCUAAUAGGAGAAACAUUUUCAAAAGAGCCAUGACCUGACUCAGUUAAUGUGCAAGGAAAGGCAAGCAGGUCCAGACUUUUCAGUUUAUCCAUCAUCCCUUAUCCAAAAUUUCCAACUCUCUUGGAAUUAUUUUGUUCUUCAUACUUGCCCAACAAAUAUCUCACUCUUGUUUUGGACCUUCUUUUGUAGUUAUCUCACAUAAGCUCCUUUUGACUAAGGUCACGUAUUUGGAAUCAGACUACCCAAGUUCAACUCCUGGGUCUACCAUUUAUUAGCUUGUAUUACUUUGGGCAAGAUAAUUAAAUUCUCCAGGUUUAAGUUCCCCCAUUAUAACAUAAUAAUAGUUAUUAUCUGCUAGGGUUGUCUUGAGAAUUAAAUGAGAUAAUUCAUAAGAACCCUUUAACACAGUGCCAGCCACAUAAUGAAGGCAUAGUAAGAGAAAAGUAUUACACUGUUGAUAAUACUUGUCUAGGCAGGGCUCUUAGAUUUUUCUCUGUAUCCCUUACUGUGCAAUUCAUCUGUCCCCUAACAUUCUAAGAUUGUUUUAGAGUGAGUUGCUUCAGAGUUGAAUAAUUAUAAUGGUAUAUUCUCACAUUUAUAAACAACUUGGAAUUCCAUUUAGUGUUGACAUUGACAAGGAAAUGUCUAUGAGUAAUUUCUGCAAUUUUUUAUUCAUUAUGGAGAGACAAAAUGGGUAUAAUGGUGAGAAGAAUUAGGUAGGAGGUCUGGAAAGAGAUUGAGUUUAAAUGCUUACUAUGCUGAGUAAUAAUGGUAAUGAAUAAUGGUAUGAUCUUAAGAAAUCUAAGCUUUAGUUUUUCCCAUCUUAAAGACAAAGUUGUCAUUAGUAUUUCAUAAUGUAGGGUAGUAUAUAAACUUCCUGGCAUGUAGCAACUGCUCAAUAAAUAGAAGUUAUAGUUUUUUCUAAACUUGAUAAAGAGCCAAGGGAAAAAUAAAGAUUUUGCAGCUAAAGCCAUUUCUUUUUCUCUGUUAUGUACCUAUCUAUUCCAGAAACAGAAUUAAUUCCCUAAACCUCAUCAAAGGAAGGAUUUGAACACUAAAAAAAAAUAAUCAAUCUCUUUGGGUUUGUUAUUGCUUGUUUUCACAUACCUCAGAGGCAUUAAUACAAACCUUUAUAAUGUCAUCAGAAAGAAGAGAAGUCAAACACUCCUUAAUAAUUGCAAGGUUAUUAUUUUGCAAGGAAUCGAGUCAAAAUUCCAUUGACAUGAGGACUGUAACUUUUUCAUUACUCCUUAAGGCAAGAUGUCCUUGAAUUAAGUAGUUCAUGUAGAAACUUGUUACAAGUCCUUAGCGGAGAGACUGUACUGGAAAUAUAGGAUCUACUUAAGGGUUUGAGCUUCCCCACCCACUUACUUUAGAGUGACAAUUCACACCUAUAAAAACACAAAAGUACAGGGGUUUGUUAAACACUAGAAGACCCAAAGAGCCAAGACUUAUGCCUGUAAAAGUGGUGCUUCCUAAGGGGAAGACAUGGAAUUUCUCAGAGAAUACAGCCUGUCUUGACCAAGGGACUGUACAAGGAAGAUUAGGAGGUAACUACUGGGGUAAAAGAGGGACAGUUGCAUCUUUCUGGAACACUCUAAUAAAACUGUAAGUUUUACUAACUUCUUCUUUCAUAUGAUAGAAGCGUCAAAUUUGAUACUUAAAGUCGUAAUAUCCCGUAAGUACUGCUCAGGAACACCUGUUUAGUCCUACUACAAAACUUGAAGAAAAGGUCUCCUUUCCUAAUGCUGUACCAGUCCUCUCCUCACAGAUGACUUGGGAAAGAAAUUCUGUUGGCCAGAUUCCACAAGUAUAAGAUGAUAAGAGACCAACUUCUUUAUUCCUCUGCUCUUCAUUUGUCCUCCCACCUCAAUUGCUUUGGGAAAAUAACAUAGUCUGGAACAGAAAAAAAGGAGCCUUGUUGUACUUCAUUUGCCUGAAGAGACUACUUUCAGAGAAAAUUAUAGUCAAAAUUAUUUCAAGUUUUAGGGCCAUACUGAAUAUAUAAGGGUGCUAUUGCUUAAUCUCUGUGCUCUUAUCUUGGUGUGGCAAAGCUCAUUGGGGCUAUAUUGAAAGUAGCCUGAAACCAAUUGGUCAGAUGCUGCUGGCAGGAGGAGCCCCCAGGGGGAUCAAGGACAUGGAUGACACAGUGAGUGUAAUUAUUAGUCAAGAUAGGCUAGGUUAGGCGUUAGUGGCAAAUUAUCUCAGUGGCUUAGUACAAUAAAGGCUUAUUGCUUAUCCAUGUGGCAUGUCUACUGCAGGUCCACAAGGCCUCUGUUCCACUCACAGAUCCAGAUUUUAACAUUCUUUGCCAUCUCAUAGCUAAUGAUCUAAACAUCAGCAGAAGGAAGGUGUCUUGGGUCAGGCUACCUGGAAAACAGAUCAAGUUAAAGAUUUCUGUGCAGAAAGGUUUUUAGGGAGGGAACUCUGAUUGACAUCUGCCAGGGAGAGAGCAAAAACAGCUGAGCAGACAACUGUUGAACUGUUACUACUGGUAACAACAAAGGUCUUGGCCAACCCAGCAGGGAAUGCUGGAGUUCAAAAUGGUUCUCCACAGGCGUUUCACCUUAAGGCAAGGGAUUGGGCCUUUAUUAUCCCCUAUCAACCAGUCCUUUGAUUGGCUUGACCCCAGAGAGAGGUUAUAACCUUGAGUAAAGUGUCUCUGUCUACUGAGGAUAAUUCGAGGAGAGCAACUAAGCUGAGAGUUGUCAGCAAUGGGAGGAAUCAGAGGCUCAGUCCUGAAAAGCAGGUCUGAGCAGGAUAAAAUAGCAUCCACUACAAAGGGGAAAGUGCAUGCACUUUUCACUGCCUCCACUUGGGAGAGAGACAUGCCAUUUUCUGCUCUCAUUUCAAUGACCAAAAGGAGUCACAUGAUUCUAUCUAAUUUCAAAGAAUCUGGGAAGUGUGGGGAAAGUAACUGGACUAUUUGGGAAGGAUCAUUAUUUCUGCCACAAUGGAGAAGAGAUGUCCCUUUGGAGCUACUCAUUUCUGUUUUCAGUGGUGUAAUGUCUUUUAGUCAUGGUCAUGAUACAGGUUCUGUUUUGCAUUUGGCAUCCAAUGACUUUGUCAUCCCAUGUCUGGUUUCUGCCUGCUUUUCCUGAAGAUUGCUUAGCCUCCUUUCCUUCCAUCUACAAGAUCAGAUCCUUCUCCCAAGCUCUUGUCCUAGUCUUGUCUAGGCAUCAAGUCAAACUUCCUAGUGCUUUUUUUUUCUCUUCUGGAGGUCCAGUUCAAACAAAACCAAAACCAAAAGUAAAACAGGCCCGUUCUCUAGUCCUGACUGAACACUUCUUAUACCAUAGUUUCUCCCAAACUAAGGCUUUUCUCCAUCAGUCCUCUCUGUUAAUCAGAGUACUGAACUCUGCAUUAUCCUAGUAGGUCCUAUUACAUGACAUUCACUUCUUUUCAAAUUGUCUACCCUUAUCCUUCACAUUAUCAUGAUCAAUAUCCUUAUCUGGACAACUGCCAGCUGCCUUUUGUUCGAUCUUCUAGACUGUUCUCUCUAACCACCCACCUGGUUGAAUUUCUGGUACCUGAAAACCCUGAAGCGCUGGGACUAAGCCAAGACCACUAAACUGAGAUAAAAAGAAAGAACUACCUUCUCAGCCUUAAAAUUCUUUGAAAGUACAUUUUCUGUGAUCAGCUAUUUUUUUUCUCUUUUAAUCAUUUGGCUCUUUCUUGCUGUCAGUGUACAUACACAUCACUUUUCAUCAUUAGGGAGUCAUCACAUACUUCAUCGAGACAGUACUCUGUAUUUCAAAGACCUAGACCAAUUAUAAUUAAAGCAAGGUAUAGAUCACUGCAUACAUGGUAUUAGUCUUUGGACACUCAGUAGCUAUUGACCUACUUUAAUAAUUGACUGAGACUAUUGAUUCUUUAAAUAUAACUACAUGUUUCUAUCUUAGUGGAACCAAUUACAGUUUAUAAGUCUAUUGAAGAAUAGCUGACUUCUCAAAAUUUGACUUAUUCUAUCUCAGGGACUCAGAAGAUAACUAAUGACAGCUAAAUGACUUCUGACCCAUGUCUGAGUGAGGCUAGGCUGCUACCUGAGUCCAACUUCAACAUUCUGUGACAAUUUGCAGUGAAAUAGUACCUAGAGGAGGAGAGAGAGCUUGAGAAAAGCAGAAAAUGCUGAUGAAACAAGCCAUUGUUGUGAAUUGGCAAUUACUGCCUAUUUAGUCCAGACUUCACAAACAGACAGCUGGCUACGGACACAUAUUUUUGUUAUUAGGUGACAAUUUUUGAAAUUGGAAGAUUUUACUUAAAAAUUUGUAUUCCAAGUGUGAACUGAAAAGGCGGACCUGACAAGACCAAGUCCUCCUUCCUUGUGGCAGUAAUUCAUGGGGGCCAAAUAGUGGAGGGUCCCCUUCAAAUGGACAAGAGGAUGCCCAUUCUCCAGAUCACCAGAGCCCCACUAUUUCCCUUUGUUAGAGACGGAAUUGCAUUCCUCCAAAAUUCAUAUGUUGAAG